UACGUAGGGCGCGAGCGUUGUCCGGAAUUAUUGGGCGUAAAGAGCUCGUAGGCGGCCUGUCGCGUCGGUUGUGAAAGCCCGGGGCUCAACCCCGGGUCUGCAGUCGAUACGGGCAGGCUAGAGUUCGGUAGGGGAGAUCGGAAUUCCUGGUGUAGCGGUGAAAUGCGCAGAUAUCAGGAGGAACACCGGUGGCGAAGGCAGCUCUCUGGGACGGUACUGACGCUGAGACGCGAAAGCGUGGGGAGCGAACAGG
rnacentral:rRNA from 1 species